GGAAAUUGAAGUUCAAACAUUAAUAGGGCCGAUUCCUAGACAUUUUUAAAAUGUCUCCCCUGAGACAGUUUUGGAAGGCAAAGUGACUAAAGUGUUGCAGAACCUAGUCAGGAGGAAAGACGAGUCUGACCCAGUAUCACUGGGAGGCAACUGUAAGGAAAAACGGUUUCUCUUUUUAAUCCCAGGCAUUGAGACCCCUCACCAGUAAACUGGCUACACCAUCUGAUGUCCCAUCUCCUGGGAAGCCGCCCUGAUUUUUGGAGGGAGCCACUCUUUUCCCGAGCUGAUCUUAGCAACAGUUGUUAGUGGGUGACAAGCUCUUCUUUUCAGGGGACUGUAUUAAAAAGGUGCUCAUUAGCCAUUGAUAUCUAAUGUGAAUGUCUUUUUGUUUUUAAUGUGAAUUUUUUUUAGUGUAACUUUGUUUAGGGGGGGAUGGGCAGAGGGAGAGAGAGAAUCCCGAGCAGGCUCCAUGCCCAGCACAGAGCCCGAUGCGGGGCUCAAUCUCAUGAUCGUGAGAUCAUGACCUGAGCCACCCGGGCACCCCCAUUUAGAGCUCUUUUUAUUUCAGGAAACUCUGGAGGUUGUAAUGAUGCAACACACGCCUGUUCUUCUCACACAUUCUAGAGACGUCAAUUAAAGCCAUGCAUGGCGCUCCCAGCACGCUCAGCAAAGGCAUGGGGAACGUGGCUGCCACUGGGUUGACAGGACAGUUUCCAAAACGAUGCCUUUCUAAGACCAUGUGCAUCAUGGCGCCUCCCUGCUUACGAAUGUGAACUAGAAAACCCCACGUGACCUCCGGACGUGCCCCUCUGAUGACCAGGCAAGUCAUUUAAGCUCUCAAGGUUUCUUAUUUUUGUUUUUAAAUCUUGGAACCUAUGAGAUAGUAUAUGUAAAUAGAAAUAUAAGGCUAUUGUGAAGUUUGACCAUUGCCUCUUGAGGGUCCUGGAGCUGUUGGCUCGUCAAACACGUUGAUAAACCAAGUUCUUGUUCCCACUGGCUCCUCACAGUGUUUUCCUCGCUCCUGCUCUUCAGCAUCUAAGUGAAUGUGUGGCUAAUGGUGAGAUAAGUAUGGGGGAAAUAAUAAUAAUAAUAAUAAUAAAGAAUUCCAUUCUUUUUUUAAAAUUUUAUUUAUUUAUUUAUUUGAGAGAGAGAGAGAGAGAUCAC
rnacentral:lncRNA from 1 species